rnacentral:lncRNA from 1 species
GGGUGUGGAGGUGAAGGGAAGAAAGAAGGUGGUGUUGAGGUUGUGUUUUGCGAUAAAAAAUACAUCCCACCAAAAAUAGCGCACGCCCCUAUUUUCUUUCUAGAUUUUUGUCACACAAAAAUGAAGUUUCCUUACAUGCCAUAUCAGAAAAGAAUUAGAUCUUAUCUAUAUCUAGAAAGAGAGGAGGAGGGGCGGCAAUGAGAAAGCAGAAGAGAUCU